rnacentral:rRNA from 1 species
CCUACGGGUGGCUGCAGUGAGGAAUAUUGGUCAAUGGACGAGAGUCUGAACCAGCCAAGCAGCGUGAAGGAUGAAUGCCCUCUGGGUUGUAAACUUCUUUUAUAAAGGAAUAAAACGAGGCACGUGUGCCUUUAUGCAUGUACUUUAUGAAUAAGGAUGGGCUAACUCCGUGCCAGCAGCCGCGGUAAUACGGAGGAUACGAGCGUUAUCCGGAUUGAUUGGGUUUAAAGGGAGCGUAGAUGGGUUGUUAAGUCAGUUGUGAAAGUUUGCGGCUCAACCGUAAAACUGCGAUUGAUACUGGCAGUCUUGAGUGCAGUUGAGGUAGGCGGAAUUCGUGGUGUAGCGGUGAAAUGCUUAGAUAUCACGAAGAACCCCGAUUGCGAAGGCAGCUUACUGGACUGUAACUGACAUUGAUGCUCGAAAGUGUGGGUAUCAAACAGGAUUAGAUACCCUGGUAGUC